AUACGGAGGAUGCAAGCGUUAUCCGGAUUUAUUGGGUUUAAAGGGUGCGUAGGCGGAUGAUUAAGCGUGAGGUGAAAUGCCACUGCUCAACAGUGGAACUGCCUCGCGAACUGGUUGUCUUGAAUGCUCCUGCCGUGGGAGGAAUGUGUGGUGUAGCGGUGAAAUGCAUAGAGAUCACACAGAACACCGAUUGCGAAGGCAUCUCACGAAGGGGUGAUUGACGCUGAGACACGAAAGCGUGGGGAUCAAACAGGAUUAGAUACCCUGGUAGUCCACACAGUAAACGAUGAUAACUAACCGCUGGGUCGUAGUGAUUCAGUGGCCAAGCGAAAGCGAUAAGUUAUCCACCUGGGGAGUACGACCGCAAGGUUGAAACUCAAAUGAAUUGACGGGG
rnacentral:rRNA from 1 species